ACCAGUCUGCCAUUAAAAUAAAAGAAGAAGAUAUCCUAGAGAGAUAUCCCAACUAGCUUUGACCUCGUGUUGUAUACAAUGUGGCUGACCUAUUUGUAUAUUGGUGUGAAAGUUGUUAGUUAGAUUUUUUGAGAGCAGUGCUUGGUAGUUUUGUCUUGUUUGGGUGUUUGUCACCCUGGCUAGAAGAGGGUAGGUGACAUUUUGUUGACUGAAGGUUUUUGUCCUGCUUUUGGAACAGGUUCUCACUCUGUUACCCUAACACAUUCCCCCCUCUGAAAAAUUUGGAACACUUCACAAGUCACAUGUUCACCAGGAAGUUGUGUCAUCUGGAUCUUCUGAAGGUCAUGGGAAGACCAAAAAAGAAGAUCGAGAUAACCCAUACUAUGCGGGAGUCAGAAACACCCACCCAUAGCAAGACAUACCCACCACCCUCUUUGUCUGCCUUCCUCUCUCUCGCUCCCACUUUCUUUCUCUCCCUCCUUUCCCCUCUCUCUCCUUCUUUCUCUUUCCACCUCCUUUGCUGUGAAGAACUUCAAGCACAUAGCACAUGCCUUCAAUAUAGAAAACACACACCGUUCAUGCACAACCAUGCACACUAACACACAAAAAAAACACACCUGCAUGAACAUUCACAUACAUGCAUGCACACAUGUGGACACACAUUCCCAUAAAACAAUGUUCAUUCCUGUUACUAAAAUGUUUCCCCCCCCCUAUAAAAUAAAGUUAAACCAAUGUUUUUUUUCAA